ACUCCUACGGGAGGCAGCAGUGGGGAAUAUUGGACAAUGGGGGAAACCCUGAUCCAGCCAUGCCGCGUGUGUGAAGAAGGCCUUCGGGUUGUAAAGCACUUUCAGUGGGGAGGAAAGGUUGAUGGUUAAUACCUAUCAGCUGUGACGUUACCCACAGAAGAAGCACCGGCUAACUCUGUGCCAGCAGCCGCGGUAAUACAGAGGGUGCGAGCGUUAAUCGGAUUUACUGGGCGUAAAGCGUGCGUAGGCGGCUUUUUAAGUCGGAUGUGAAAUCCCUGAGCUUAACUUAGGAAUUGCAUUCGAUACUGGGGAGCUAGAGUAUGGGAGAGGAUGGUAGAAUUCCAGGUGUAGCGGUGAAAUGCGUAGAGAUCUGGAGGAAUACCGAUGGCGAAGGCAGCCAUCUGGCCUAAUACUGACGCUGAGGUACGAAAGCAUGGGGAGCAAACAGGAUUAGAUACCCUGGUAGCUACGAGU
rnacentral:rRNA from 1 species